UGGGGAAUCUUGCACAAUGGGGGAAACCCUGAUGCAGCCAUGCCGCGUGGAGGAAGACACCCCUAUGGGGCGUAAACUCCUUUUCUGAGAGAAGAAACCCCUCUUGUUGAGGGUGUGACGGUACCGCAGGAAUAAGGACCGGCUAACUCCGUGCCAGCAGCCGCGGUAAUACGGAGGGUCCAAGCGUUGUCCGGAAUCACUGGGCGUAAAGGGUGUGCAGGUGGGGCAGCAAGUCAGAGGUGAAAGCCCGCGGCUUAACCGCGGAAGUGCCUUUGAAACUGUUGCUCUUGAGUCCCGGAGAGGCUGCCGGAAUUCGUGGUGUAGCGGUGAAAUGCGUAGAGAUCACGAGGAACACCAGAGGCGAAAGCGGGCAGCUGGACGGGUACUGACGCUCAGGCACGAAAGCGUGGGGAGCAAACA
rnacentral:rRNA from 1 species